CAGCCAUGUGGAUGAAUCUUAAAAACUCUCAAAAUCUACUGACGGCAUCGGCUGGCUGGCUGAGGUGACUGACAAUGCAGUCAUAGUCUUCUCCUUGAGACAGCUCAGUUGGUUGCUAUGGAAAUGAUUAUUUUGCUACAAACAGAAAAUUAUGGCACAGUAAAGAAUAAGCAACAAAAGCAAAAGAACUCUUGAAAAAAAACGAAGGCUGGGCAUGAAGCCUGAUUCCCAGGAUUCAGGGAGGCUGCAGAGCCCCGCAGGAGAAAGCCAUGUUGUGGAGAUGCUAUUGACCGAAACAACUGGGCCUUGACUAAACUGGAAGAACACACCAGGAGUCACUCUAGGACC